rnacentral:lncRNA from 1 species
GGAAAUGUAAGGUUCUCUAGUUAGUCUGAGGAAAUUUAGGAAAAGCCACUUUGUGCUAGAAUAUCAUUUUAAUAAUCAUUUUAAAAUCGGGUCUUUUGAGCUUAUUCGAAGUUCAAGGAUUCUUUUUUAAAUUGAUGGAAAUUAGUGAAAAUAUGUAAUUAAUUACACCUAAUUUACUUUCUGGCUUCUCUUUGGUAUAGGACAAUGCUUAUACUGGAAUCUUUUCUUUUCCCUAUUCUUACUUGUUCAAGAAGUAAUUCUAUGGGUUAGGUUGAAAACCUAUAAAAGCCAGUGACCUCGAGACUUAUUGAGGACUGUUGAUUUUGGAUCAGAUGAAAAUAAUGGGUAGAAAGGAGCUACACAUUUAAAAAAGACAAGUUAACUCAUUGUCAACUCAUUGUUCAAAACUGUGUCUGGUAUUACUUCAUUAUCGCUUGGCUAAUUUGAGAGUAAUUAUUUAAAAGAGAAAUUAUUAAAAUGUUGUUGGCUUAAGACCUUUGUUUUUCAAUUUAUUCCAUAUUUUUGUUAUAUAAUACUAUUUGCUGAACACCUACUUUUCUGUUUCAGGAAAUGUGCUGGAAGAUUGACCUCAGCCAUCAUGGAGCCCACAGCCAGGGUAGGUCACUGAUCAUAAUGCAAUGUGAUAAAUAUGAUAAUAGGGUAAGCAGAGAAAUAAGAGUGCCUAAUAUAGAGUUGCAAAAAGUAGUUUAGGAAUUCUGAGAUAGUACUCUGAUUUAUCAAAAUAAAAUUAAAGGAUUAACCCACAGCUUUCUGAAAAAGAUUGCAUAAUACUAUAUAUACAUACAAU